UUGAAUAAAUAUAUCCCACAUGCAAAGCCAUUAUUUUAGUUUAAGAAUAGGAAAGUCACAUCCAUUGCAACACAAACCCAUGACACACGGGUAUAAGAUUCUUUACCAUUUGAUCGUGGGAGGUACUGUUUCAUUCAAGCAUGACACUAUGGAUCAGGAACUACUUGAUAACAAAAAGAUGGUAACUUAUCAAGGCCAUAGCUAGGAAAUGAUGAGCUUUUGAAUUUUUAAUGAUUUAGGAAUCUUCAUUAUAUCUGUAUAGAUUUCUAUACUGAUGUCGAACCACAAAUCAAACACAACCAUGUGAGUGAUUGAGGUGGUAAAUUGAACGCGUAAGUUUUUGUCUAUUUCUUGUGUAUGUACGGAUUAAAAUAAAAAUGGUAUUUUAGAAUAUUUGCAUGCUUUUUAUGUCUAAUGAGAAUAUGUGUAAUUAUAAGUUGAUUUAGAAUAAAAUUACUACAUGUGACAAAUACAGGAAUAAAUUUUAGAUAUUGCCUGUCCUCUAUUACCUGUUAUAUUAAAUGUAUUUAGUCAUACGGUACCCCUAAAUAUACUAUCUAUUAUUGGUGAAAAAUAUAUUUUAAGUAAAUUUGAAUUUAAAUAAUUGAAAAUUUACAUGUGUCCUACUUGUUUUAAGGGGUACUUAAACGAGU
rnacentral:lncRNA from 1 species